CCAGCUUAUAUGGAUUACCGUGGGCUACAUGUGUAGCCAUGAUGUCUGUGCGCUGGCUCACAUCGCUUGGUCACCGCAAAUGAAUCAAAAUUGAAGAUAAGCUCACAGGAAGAAAGAUCUCUUACAAUACAUCGACUGAGGUUGAUGAGAGACACCGCCUUAGUUUGAUGCCAGCAGGAUGGAUGCCGUCUCCACUUUGAACAAGAUUUCUUGGACUUGUCCAAAGAGGCUGAUGAGAAGAACUGCCUGCAUGGAUGCUCCCAGAACGUGUUUGCUGUCGAUCUUGGAGAAGAGUUCUUAGCCUUGUUAAAAAGGUUGGUGAGAGACACCAUCUUCUUCUUUGCCUGCAGAAAGGAUGUCAUGUUCCCUUUGAGCAAGAGUUCGUGGACUUGUCAAAAAAACCCCAAGAGUGCCUAGCACAGCCAAAGCAGUCUACCCUCAUCAUGCAGCCAUCAAUGGAGGUCCAGGAACCAGAAGAGAUUGUGAAGGAAGAGACAAGAUGGACCUUUGAGCAUCUCAGAGUACUAACUCAUUGCCAAAAUGAAAUUAAUAAAGUUUUACGGCUUUUAAAAAUCUUUUUAUUCACAGUUUCUGAUGAGUUUGAUUAAAAAACUUGAUAAACUACGAUUUGAGGGCCACAAGUUUAUUGUUGAUGUCUUGGGUAACUAUUUGACAAAGUAAAAUGUGAAUGCAAAGCUUUAAGAAUAAUUUGGACUGUUGAAGUAGGACCUCAUCAAUGCAUGUACCAUGCAAUGAUCAGAAGAAAUUCAGUAACCUCUGAACUGUACAGCUAAGUGUAUUCCUUGAAGUUCUGUCGAUUCUAAACACUUGAAGUAAAAACACACCAACAUAAAGCUUGAUUGUGACUUUGCUAUGAUGUGAAACUUGACUUUAAACUGACCCCAAAACCUGAGGAUUCGACAACCACAAAUCACACAUGUACAUGUUUGCAGCGCCAGUAAAUAAAUUGAUCCAAAUAAAUUAACAACUCAUACAGCGUUUUGUGUUUUUCUGCUGCUAAAUUUUUGAUGGGUUAUGAAAACAAGCAGCCAGGAUCUGCAACGCAAAGCUUUGAAAAUGGUAUAUAUAAACUGACAGCAAAAACUGGCAAAUUUACCCUCUUCUGUUUUCAGUGGUGUGCGUGAAAAUUAACCAACAUCGGCAAAGGUCCUUGCAUCUACAUGUACAUGUAUGAAGUGACAUGAAACAUUCUUGAAACAAGAAGAAAAUGACUUGAUAACAACUCACCCCUUUCUGACCUUCCUGAAUUCAUUGCUCCGCCGGUCACAAGUACAACCAAUGUAACAUUGAUGCAGCCACCAACCUGCGCUGUGUUCCCUAAUGGCCACUAGAACGCGUAGCGAAGUGGAGCAGGUGCACGCUGACGUCUUCUGGUUCCCAGACCUCCGUUGAUGGUAGCACAAUGAGGGUAGACUGCUUUGGCUGUGCUAGGCACUCUUGGAAUUCUGAAAGCAAGUUUAAAAAUUGAAGGGUUUUGAGACUGAAGUAUGCAAUCACUACGUGUACCAAAUGUGAAACUUGUAAAGAGUUUUACACUUUCAUUAGAGUGACACAGAAGAUGUAUAAAACUAUUAAAGAUUUACAUUUGAAAUGCAUGUACAGUAAUUUGGCAGUUUCCAAUAAAUUGAGAGGGUAAAUAUACAAACCAGGAA
rnacentral:lncRNA from 1 species